rnacentral:lncRNA from 1 species
AGAGAGGGCUGAUCCCUUCAGCCUGCCAGCAGCUUCAGCUUCCCUGGCAGGGUGAGGAUGUGAGCUCACUGGAUGUUUCCAGGGCACGUUCCUUCAGGUAACCUGAAUGGCUGGGACAACAGUGAGGAUGACGGUAGAGGCAACAUCAGCCACAAAGAUAGCAGCUUCCAGCAGGGUGUCUUGUUAGAGUCAACUGGAUAUUAAAUCUGAAGACUGUCAGAAGAUAUAUUUGGCCCAGGCUUCUGUGGAGGGUGUCACACAGGAACUACAGCUGUCUACAGGAAGCAUCAGCCAUUCUUCUUCAGCUGGAGUUUUUGCAGCUGUAUAGCUCUGGUGCAAGGAUAUGAGAAACCCACCAGACAGGCCACAGCUGCAGCUGUUUCAAGGACGCAGCCUUGAGAGCGUAAGGUGCUGUUGAGACCAUGAGACCAUCUGGACUGAAUAUGUGAUGGAACCUAGCCUAGACAGGUCCUGUGAACAUAAUAAAAGGCAUGGAGGAGAAAAAAUGUCCCACUUGUUUAGGGGCAGCACGUUAAUGGGAUGUAGGAGAAGAAACUGAUGAAGAGGCUCUAGCCCUGGGUGCAUCUAUCCAUCACUGGGGCUGUGAAUCAUCCUUUUAUCCAGCGCAUCCUCCUGUCAAUCACUUAGCAGCCACCUUUGUUGUCGGAUGGACCCUUGAGAUAUCACAGUUCUUGUGUUCAUGUCACCCUCAUUUUACUUCCUAAUGGUCUCAAAGUGCAGGAGUAGUGAUACUGGCAAUUCAGGUGUGCCAAAGAAAAGCCUUCAAGUGCUUCCUAGAAGAGAAAAGGCUGCACCAUCUACAGGGAUUGGAGGAUUAAUACUACAAUUUUGUAAACAAGCCAUCAACAUUAUGGAGGCUUACAGUUCUGCAAGAGCCUAGUCAAAGUCAAUUUGACUGUUGGGUUCUGAGCUUGAACGGAAGUGUACCUCAUCCAUAUCCUCCCCACAAAAGACUUUCAGAAUUGGUGGACAAGUUCCCCUUGGCUACUUAGAAAACAUCCACCAAAAUGCCUUCCUAGGUUUUAUAAGUCCAGUUUGAAUUUGUUCCCGGGUUAUUAAACCUCUUUGUACUGCUAAACACUUUUUUGAUAAGCCUAACAUUAUUUUAAAAUAAAGUUAAAUAAUAAUAUAAUUUAUUAAACUAAUUAUUGAUUGUUAGACCCUUAGAUUAUUUCUAAAUUUUCUUUUUUUGAAUAACUUUGUAGUUAAUAUCUUGGCCAAAAAUUUUUGUGUCCUAUCUAUUUCCUUAUAGUACAUUCCUAGAAGUGCAAAUGUUGGGUGAAAGUGUAUGCAUAUUUUUCUCUCUUUUUUUCCCUUCUGGUUUUGAGAUGAUUGACAUAUAGCAUUCUGUAAGUUUAACGUGUACAGCAUCAUGAUUUGACUUAUUUAUAUCCUGAAAUGAUUAUCACAGCAAGAUUAAUCAACAUCAUCACUUCAUAUAGAUACAAAAUUAAAUAAAAACAAUUUU